rnacentral:rRNA from 1 species
CACGGGGGGUGCGAGCGUUGUCCGGAAUCACUGGGCGUAAAGGGCGCGUAGGUGGCUCGUGAAGCGUGCGGUGAAAGUCCGAGGCUCAACCUCGGAUCGGCCGUGCGGACUCGCGGGCUCGAGCGUUGUAGAGGCGGGUGGAAUUCCGGGUGUAGCGGUGGAAUGCGUAGAGAUCCGGAAGAACACCGGUGGCGAAGGCGGCCCGCUGGGCAACUGCUGACACUGAGGCGCGACAGCGUGGGGAGCAAACAGG